GGGCCCGUAGCUCAGCAUGGAUAGAGCGGCGGCCUUCUACGGCGUUGCCGCCGGAGCGAGCCGUAGGUCGUGGGUUCGAAUCCCACCGGGCCCG
rnacentral:tRNA from 1 species